rnacentral:rRNA from 1 species
AACGUAGGAGACAAACGUUAUCCGGAGUUACUGGGCGUAAAGGGCGUGUAGGCGGUCGACUAAGUCUGGCGUGAAAGCUCGCGGCUAAACCGCGAGAGGUCGUUGGAUACUGGUUGACUAGAGGACGGUAGAGGCGUGUGGAAUUCCGGGUGUAGUGGUGAAAUGCGUAGAGAUCCGGAGGAACACCAGUGGCGAAGGCGACACGCUGGGCCGUACCUGACGCUAAAACGCGACAGCAUGGGGAGCGAACAGG